GACGAACGCUGGCGGCGUGCUUAACACAUGCAAGUCGAACGGAAAGGCCCUGCUUUUGCGGGGUGCUCGAGUGGCGAACGGGUGAGUAACACGUGAGUAACCUGCCCUUGACUUUGGGAUAACAUCAGGAAACAGGGGCUAAUACAGGAUAGGAGCUCCUGCUGCAUGGGGGGGGUAGGAAAGUUCCGGCGGUGGGGGAUGGACUCGCGGCUUAUCAGCUUGUUGGUGGGGUAGUGGCUUACCAAGGCUUUGACGGGUAGCCGGCCUGGGAGGGUGGCCGGCCUCCUGGGGACUGCGGUACGGCCCAGACUCCUACCGGAGGCAGCGGUGGGGAAUAUUGCGCAAUGGGCGGAAGCCUGAUGCAGCAACGCCGCGUGCGGGAUGCCGUCCUUCGGGUUGUAAACCGCUUUCGCCUGUGACGAAGCGUGCGUGACGGUAAUGGGUAAAGAAGCACCGGCUAACUACGUG
rnacentral:rRNA from 1 species